rnacentral:rRNA from 1 species
UUCUUCGGAAGGCGAGUCAGUGGCGCACGGGUGAGUAACGCGUAGAUAACCUGCCUGGAUGUCUGGGAUAACCCUCCGAAAGGGGGACUAAUACCGGAUACGCUGGUUUGUCACAAGACGAAUCAGGAAAGAUGGCCUCUGAUGUAAGCUAUCGCAUUUUGAGGGGUCUGCGUACCAUUAGCUUGUUGGUGGGGUAACGGCCUACCAAGGCGACGAUGGUUAGCGGGUCUGAGAGGAUGAUCCGUCACACUGGCACUGAAACACGGGCCAGACUCCUACGGGAGGCAGCAGUGAGGAAUAUUGCGCAAUGGGGGCAACCCUGACGCAGCGACGCCGCGUGAGUGAGGAAGGCCUUCGGGUCGUAAAGCUCUGUCAGAAGGGAAGAAGUGUUCAGCGGUUAAUACCCGUUGGAUUUGACGGUACCUUCAAAGGAAGCACCGGCUAACUCCGUGCCAGCAGCCGCGGUAAUACGGAGGGUGCAAGCGUUGUUCGGAAUCACUGGGCGUAAAGGGCGCGCAGGCGGUUUGUUAAGUCAGAUGUGAAAGCCCACGGCUCAACCGUGGAAGUGCAUUUGAAACUGGCAGACUUGAGUACCAGAGGGGAAAGUGGAAUUCCCGGUGUAGAGGUGAAAUUCGUAGAUAUCGGGAGGAAUACCGGUGGCGAAAGCGACUUUCUGGCUGGAUACUGACACUGAGGCGCGAAAGCGUGGGGAG